rnacentral:rRNA from 1 species
UGCCAGACUCCUACGGGAGGCAGCAGUAGGGAAUUUUGCGCAAUGGGGGAAACCCUGACGCAGCAACGCCGCGUGAUUGAUGAAGCCCUUCGGGGUGUAAAGAUCUGUCAGUGGGGACGAAACUUGACGGUACCCACAGAGGAAGCAUCGGCUAACUCCGUGCCAGCAGCCGCGGUAAUACGGAGGAUGCGAGCGUUAUCCGGAUUUAUUGGGUUUAAAGGGUGCGUAGGCGGAAGGUUAAGUCAGCGGUCAAAUGUCGGUGCUCAACACCGGCCUGCCGUUGAAACUGGUCUUCUUGAGUGAGCGAGAAGUAUGCGGAAUGCGUGGUGUAGCGGUGAAAUGCAUAGAUAUCACGCAGAACUCCGAUUGCGAAGGCAGCAUACCGGCGCUCAACUGACGCUGAGGCACGAAAGCGUGGGGAUCGAACAGGAUUAGAUACCCUAGUA